AAGUCGUAACAAGGUUUCCGUAGGUGAACCUGCGGAAGGAUCAUUAUUGAAACUACCGGCAAGGGUUGUAGCUGGCCUUUCGGGGCAUGUGCACGCUCGAGCCUUUAAUCCAACAUACACCUGUGAACCCAAUGUAAGGGCCCGUAAAAAGGCCCCUACGUCUUUAUCGCCAACUCUGUAUUCAUAGAAUGUAAUCCAUAUCUUCGCUUUAACAAGCGUUGGUAAAACUUAUACAACUUUCAACAACGGAUCUCUUGGCUCUCGCAUCGAUGAAGAACGCAGCGAAAUGCGAUAAGUAAUGUGAAUUGCAGAUUUUCAGUGAAUCAUCGAAUCUUUGAACGCACCUUGCGCCCCUUGGUAUUCCGAGGGGCAUGCCUGUUUGAGUGUCAUUAAAUUCUCAACUCCGAUUUGAUUUGUUUCUUAUCGGAGCUUGGACUUUGGAGCGUGCUGGCGUAAGGUCGGCUCCUCUUAAAUGUAUCAGCGGAAUCUAACCUUUGGAUUCUGGACAUCGGUGUGAUAAUAAAAGUUGCGCCGUCGUUCUACUUCAAAGUCCGCUUNACAAUGGUCUUUUGACAAACUCUUAUCAAAUUUGACCUCAAAUCAGGUAGGACUACCCGCUGAACUUAAGCAUAUCAAUAAGCGGAGGAAAAGNAACUAACAAGGAUUCCCCUAGUAACUGCGAGUGNAGCGGGAAAAGCUCAAAUUUAAAAUCUGGCNGUCUCCGGCCGUNCGAGUUGUNAUCUGGAGAAGCGUUUAUNCGCGCCNGACCGUGUAUAAGUCNUCUGGAANGGAGCGUCGUAGAGGGUGAGANUNCCGUCUUUGACACGGACUACCGAUGCUUUUGUGAUGCGCUCUCGAAGAGUCGAGUUGUUUGGGAAUGCAGCUCAAAAUGGGUGGUAAAUUCCAUCUAAAGCUAAAUAUUGGCGAGAGACCGAUAGCGAACAAGUACCGUGAGGGAAAGAUGAAAAGCACUUUGGAAAGAGAGUUAAACAGUACGUGAAAUUGUUGAAAGGGAAACGUUUGAAGUCAGUCGCGUCGACCGAGACUCAACCCGGCUUUUUUGCUUGGUGCACUUCUCGGCCGACGGGUCAGCAUCAAUUUUGACCGCCGGAUAAAGGUAGGGGGAACGUGGCAUCUUUCGAGAUGUGUUAUAGCCCUCUAUUCGGAUACGGCGAUUGGGAUUGAGGAACUCAGUGUGCCUUUAUGGUCGGGGUAUCAACCCACGUAACACACUUAGGAUGCUGGCAUAAUGGCUUUAAGCGACCCGUCUUGAAACACGGACC
rnacentral:rRNA from 1 species